GUUUAUGUUAUUUGAAGUCAAAACGUUCUUACAUUGGAGACAGCUGUGGAUUUUGAAAGCUUUGCUUAGCAAAUAUCCUGAAACAUAGGCAGCAGCAUUUUUGAGCAAUAAAUUGUUGCUAAUAUUUUGUUCUCGGUAGUCAUUUUCACCAAUCAACAGUGAGUUACUUGGAGCUUUUGCAUGGAACAGUUUCCUUUGGAAGAGGUCAAAAGUGAACUAAAAAAAACCUUUCGAAAAGCUCUGAUAAAUUGUAUUGGCGUGGGAUUGUCAGAAUUACCUCUUUGCUGGCGUAUUGUUCCAAAAAAAUUCUCUAGAGCAUCUGUGUUUAAUCUUCUGUGUGGAACUAUUGACGCAAUCGAAAAGUGAAUCAAAUUUGAAAAGCAACUCAGCUGUACCCAAGGCUGAUGGUGGUAGUGCUCCAAUUGAUGAAUAUGUGCAAACUGAUGCAGCAAUGGUGUGGUUGAAUAUUUGUGUAGCAUAUUUAACUUGAAAAUUAAUCUGAAAAUUAAUGCAGCGACAGCGAUGUAACGAAAAUAACAAUAUAUAUAUAUUAAUAGAA